rnacentral:rRNA from 1 species
CCUUGUACACACCGCCCGUCACAUUCACGAAAGCCAGUUGUACUAGAAGCCGGUGAUUUAACCGAAAGGGAAAUAGCCGUCCAAGGUAUGACUGGUGAUUGGGGUG